CCCCCCCGUGGAGGAAGACGCGAGCGCUGCGGUGAGCUCCGUCACGAGAAGAUCCAACGGUGGUGGUUAUGGAUCGGUGGGAUGACUAUUAUCGCCGUUGAGAUUCUGCCGUCAGUGUAUGGUUUGUCGGUUGCCUAUAUAAACACACAUGACCUGGUGAGAGCGAGCGUAAGCGGGAUCCUUUUCUUUACAAGAAAUAAGAGCUUUUGUUAUUUGCUUAGGCUAUGCUUAUCCAAGGGUCAAUCAACGUGUACCAUUUUAACACCUUCAAUGAUUGCUCGGUUUAUGAGUAAGUGUUUUUGAUGUCGCCAGGAGCAAUCCAAACUUCAAGUUUGGUGAUGCCUGUCUCUAUUAGGUUCACGGAACAUACCGUCUUCGUUCCCAUGGAAAGGAUUUGGCUCUGCAAUUACAACCACCUCAUGUUAUUUGCGAAGAACAACACUGUCUUUCCAGCAAACUUCGUUGGUGAAGUCAGGGGCAUUAAAACGAUCUACAAUGUAGAGACCCAGAGUAAUCAACGUCUCAUGACAAUCACAAGGAGGCAAUCGACUGUAUGCCUGAGUGUAUUUGACGGGAUUUCUGCACAGAAGGACAACUAAAGGCGCUACUCUGAUGUAGAACUAAAGAUGGUUUUGCAACAAACAUAUUUGGAGGCAUGCUGUUCGUCAACGCUUCUUCUGCUACUCAUUCAGAUCCAUAGAACAUUCCGGUCAGAGAUAAAGACAGAGAGACACCAUUAUUGGCUGGCCGAGUAUCAUGAGUGGAAAAAAGAGAGGCUCAAGAGAUACCAGUGAAGUAUAAAAAAACGGAUGGUGACAGAUACAUACUGUAAACCGGAGAUUCUUUUGCGUCUUGGAGGGAGAUUGGUAAGGUAAUUGAAUAAGAUAUGACUGUUCUUAUUUUUGGUUUACUGAUUUCAGAAACUUAUGAUCCUGAUUCCUGGAACUAUAUGGUUUCUUUUGUUUUCUCGCAAACCGAUAUUGUUAAUAUAUUCUAGAGAACCACAGCA